UCACAUUUACUGACAUACAAGGGGUUCAGGUUAUCUCAUCGAUCACAUUUACCGCCAUACAAGGGGUGUAGGUUAUCUCAUUUAUCACAUUUACCGACAUACAAGGGGUGCAGGUUAUCUCAUUUAUCACAUUUACCGACAUACAAGGGGUGUAGGUUAUCUCAUUUAUCACAUUUACCGACAUACAAGGGGUGCAGGUUAUCUCAUUUAUCACAUUUACCGACAUACAAGGGGUGCAGGUUAUCUCAUUUAUCACAUUUACCGACAUACAAGGGGUGUAGGUCAUC